AUAACAGCACAAAAACCGACAAUGAGUAAAAUCACACAAUGUAAAAAAAUAAAAAUACAUAGACAUUCUUAAAAAAACACAUCAUAUAGAAAUGCGUAAUCAUAUAAGAGUCUAUAAACAUUCUUGCUUAUGCAUUUUACGAGGCAUGUGGCCUUCUAGGUGCACUGGUAGGUAGCAUUGGUGGGUAUGCCUCUUGUGGUGUUGGUGCUGUGUCUGCUGUUCUUCAUUCGUAUGAGUUGCUCCAAGUGUGUUGGGGGUCCAGUGCUUUGUAUGACAUAUCCUGUUUUUUGGAGCAAGUACUUCCACAUGUCUGGCAGCUUCAUCGUGGAGUUCUCAUUGAGUAAGUUUUCUUUCCUCUGGCGUGUUAGUAUUUCUAACGUCUUUCUGCAAGUGGCUUGUGUGGGGUCCUUUAUCUGCUUCACUAUUUUAGCAUUCUUCCAAUCUA
rnacentral:lncRNA from 1 species